AACGCACAUUGCGCCCAUUGGUAUUCCUUUGGGCAUGCCUGUUCGAGCGUCAUUUCAACCUUCAAGCACGGCUUGGUGUUGGGCGCCUGCCCCCGGGUCCUCCCUGGGGGCUCGCCUCGAAAUCAUUGGCGGCGGACGCGCCGGCCCGGAGCGCAGUACACGAGCGCUCCGGGGACUGGCGCGGCCGCGAGCCAGGAGCGCGAUCCAGCAGAUUGACCUCGGAUCAGGUAGGGAUACCCGCUGAACUUAA
rnacentral:misc_RNA from 1 species